ensembl:lncRNA
GGGUGACAACUUUCAUAGCAGCCGCCAAAGCAGUUGCCAGCAGCUUCAUGUGGAGCCUGCUCCCUCUCUGAGGAGUGUGUCUCUUUAAAUAUCUCACAUAAAAACCAAGGUCUGUAGAACCUGAAAAACUACAGCAAAAAGCAAUGUGACGAUAAGGCGAAUAUUUGUCUGGCUAUGUGCAAAGCCCCGAAUCAAGUUUUUCUUCUUUCCUUUCCAGGGACUCUAAUUCAGAAAGGUGUUGGUGAGACCCAAAUCGUACGGUGGAUCGUAGCGUGUUUUUACCAUCCCUCACUGGAGCGGAGCAAUCGCAACGGGACGCACUGCUGAUCGAUACGUUCAGAGGAUCUGGUGACCCUCGCUGUGGCCAUGCCCAAGCCACCCGCUUUGCAGACAGAGGUGAUCUUGGCCUUCAGGAAGCUGUAUGUGAGCUCACCUUUCUCUUGUUAUGCUUCAGAGCUUUCCAGAAGCCCGGGCCUGGAAUCAGGCUUGACUCUUUUAAUAGACAAGAUCCAGACACAAAAUAACUUUUGUCUCUGAAUCUGAAGGAGAGUUAUGCUGUGGUUAUACAGCUGCUGCUGAUGUAUGCAGGAACGGUGAAUUUGGUGGUGGUAAUUUCAAAUUCCUACAGGCUCUGUUCCUGCUAUGAGCAAACAGCCUGCGUUGUUGGGAUAAAGUAAAUCAGGACUUUCUGGAUCACAACUUUGGCUUAAAAAUUACAUUCAUUUCCUUGAUAGAGUUUCUCAGAAAAAACACCUUAACUGACUGUCACUUCUUAUGCCGCUUUGCCAUCUGCAGUGCCGGGAUGGUACCUGAGCAAGGAUUUCAGUUAAAGGUUUUCUUGCUGUAACUCUGUUCUUAGCUAUCAGCAGGACUAAGAUGGAAUAGGAGUUGGAAAGCCUAUAGUCAUCAUGGGAAUGGAGACACUGCUUUGUUGGAAAAAAGACCACGUUACAUAGUUUAUCUGGACAAUCACAGCCACUUGCAGCAGCAUUGCCUGUGCUGCAUUUGCUCUUCAGUGAACUGGUAAGAGAUAUGCUUGGAUUUCCAUCCCUGUGAAUGCAGAUUGAUAUUCAGCCAUUUCCCUGUUAGUCUGACAGUUCCCAUAAAGAACUCCUGAACUUGCUGACCAACUUCAAAACAGCCUUGACCAGUUAUACAGUUCUCAUGCAAAUACCCACAGAUGGUGUUUAAAAGUAUCUAUUUAGAAAAACUUGAAGCUUAGUGCUGCUGAAUGAGGUUUUUUUCUCUUACUGGAACAGGGCAUCAGAGAAACCAACCGAUUAGAAACACUGAAGUGGUCCCUUGACACCAGGGAGGAACAUUUUGGGGAAAGCAUUAGUUUUACAGGAAAGAGCUAUAAAAAGGAAAUAAAACCAGAACACACUUCACUUGACCUUGAGGGAAAACCUCUGCCUCCAGAGGCCCUGCUGUGCUCAAAGCAAUGGCCGAGUGGCUGGGGUCCUCUUUGCCAUCACACUCCCCCUGUCACUGCUGUGACUUGUACAGAGGAAAUCUGCUAGUUUGGCAAACAGCUUUUCAAGUCACCAGUAUUUACAGCAUCCACAGAAGUUUGUUUAGUUGGAGCUGUGUGUAUGGCAGCUGUUCCUCACUGCUGUCAGUACCUGUGUGUGGGCUAAGCAUUCACCAUCUCCUCUGGAAGUACCAAGGAGAUGGGUACUCACUAGCACCGUGGUCCUGGCCUUUGCCUGACAGUUUCCAUCAAGCACAGAAAGCAGCAAGCAAAGAGGGCAUCACUUUAUGACUGUCUUUAGAAGAGCAAAUAGUGCAGUGCUUGAUAACAGAAGACUUAAGUCACAUCACUGAUGGUACGGUUGCCAAAUGAUGUGAAGAGCUGCAGUUCAAAUCUUGGUGUAACUGGUUUUGAGAAAUAAAGAACACUCCAACCACAAGCACUCCCGGCCAGUUUUGGCUCUUUGUUUACUAACUCAAAACAGAAGGAAUGAGCUCAGUGUGAAAAGCUGGUCAAAGGCCUUCCUGUAUUGCCGUGUUGUCUGAAGGGCCUGUCUGUGUUUCAGGAGCUGCUUGUCAUCCAGGAGGUCAUCCUGUAGCUCACAGAACUCAAGAACCCAGUGAGGAGACAGCAACUGACUUGAGAAGAGCUACAUUGGAUAUUAAAUGUUCCUAAAAUCACAGAAUGGCUGAAGUUGGAAGGUGAUCUCUUGAGAUUAUCUGGUCCAACUUGCACUUAAGGGAUACCCAGAACAGUGGGCCCAGGAACUUGUCCACAUGGCCUUUGAAUAUCACCUUUUUGGCCAUGUGGAUGCACUGAUGUCUCACGUUCAACUCGAUGGUCACCAGGAUCCAUGGGAGCAUCCUACCAGGAUUCAUAGACUUGUCAUCCUGUGCUAACAGCAAUGCUUCCUUGUAUCUGAAGGUGAGCAGUGUUGAAAUGUACUCUGUGGAAGACAAAACCCCCUGGAACCUGGGGACUACAGCAGCUCUGGGAGAAGGAGGCACUGUGUUGAAUCAGGACGUUGCACAAGAGCCAGCUUCAAACCGUUUAGGGUAUUUGGAUGUGCAACAUUAAUAUCCCACUCAUGCUCUGCUUUGAUUGCUGAUUGCUUCUAUUUAUAAUCGGAUAUCAUCAGAGUUCCUUCACUUCUUCCUCUCAAAUAGACUGCACCUCCUUCUCAUCCUCCUCCACCUCUCCUUCCCCCCUGCUGAGACCCACCAUGGAGCCACUUCUACAUUUUGCUUGCAAUAAAGUAAAAGGUUAUGUGGUUCCAUUCUAACUCCUUGGUCAUAGCUAUGUAAAAAGCCUCAAAUGAGGACAUCAAGGAGAAGCAGAGCAAAACUUCCAUGAGUACCAGAUGCACAGGGUAGUACACCUCACAGAGGCCAAGAAGAAAGAAAACCUUUGAUUAAAUUACUUGGAUUGUAUCCCCCAAAAUUUAUUACCCAUUGUUUCAUUUAAAAUCAGAGAGAAAGCUCUUAGGAGUGUAUUUUAGAAAGCAACCCAUUAUCUUGCACAUGGUAUAGCUUCAGUCUGCCAAUAGAAAGUGGAGAUUUUGUAUCAGUGGUUAAAAUUGAAAAUGUCUGAUUGCAUUC